rnacentral:snRNA from 1 species
AUGCUUACCUGGCGGGGGAGACACCAUGAUCAAGCAGGUGGUUUUCCCAGGGUGAGGCUCAUCCCUUGCACUCCGAGGUGUGCUGACCCCUGCAAUUUCCCCGAAAUGCGGGAAACUCAGCAGCACAAGUUUGUGGUAGUGGGGGUCUGCAUUAGAGUAUUUCUUUU